UUGUUUUAGCAAGGAAAUUAUUACACGAUCCGAAUUGCAGUCUUUGGUGAGUGAUUUACUUGGAAGGUAUUCGGAUCUUAUGGAUGCGUUCGACGAAUUUUUGGCAUGUG